GAAAACUUAGUUAAAAAAUAACAUUAAUAUGUCAAAUUAAAAUUAUUAUAAAUAAUAGUUUUCU
rnacentral:tRNA from 1 species